rnacentral:rRNA from 1 species
UACAGAGGAUGCAAGCGUUAUCCGGAAUGAUUGGGCGUAAAGCGUCUGUAGGUGGCUUUUUAAGUCCGCCGUCAAAUCCCAGGGCUCAACUCUGGACAGGCGGUGGAAACUACCAAGCUGGAGUACGGUAGGGGCAGAGGGAAUUUCCGGUGGAGCGGUGAAAUGCGUAGAGAUCGGAAGGAACGCCGGUGGCGAAAGCGACACACUGGACCUUGUCUGACGCUGAGGCACGAAAGCCAGGGGAGCAAACGGG